CACUCAUAAUUAAGAUCAAGUACAACUUCAGCACUUCUGUAGAAAUCGAAAGCUAUAUGGCACCCAUUACUACCAUUCUCUGCUUCAUUCUCUCUCAUUUUCGAUUUCUCUUCACCCCUCAGUACUACUCGCCGACAUUCCACAACGUCGGGUUUGAUCAAAAUCCUGGUUUACACACCCUUGGAGCCUAUCCCUUUCUGUAAGUAAUGCGCAGUUUUGGCGAAAAGAUCCCGGUUAGUUCAUCAAUGUUUCGUCGAGGUGGCGGAGCUAGCUGCAGGUGGUGUUAUGAUUCAGGCCAUAUUAUGUUUUAACAUUCAUGAUCGUGAUCACAUAUUCCCCCUCCUAAUAUAUGAGGUAACUAGCGUUUCUAUGUAUCUUUGUACCCAGUUUCAGUCACUGUUAGACAUAUCCAAUGAGUUAAAUCCCCACCAUGAAGGUUACAGAAAAUAUCCUUUGAAUUGUUCAGAAUGUAAUGAGUUUUACAUCUUUCAGACUGGUUUUCAUUUUGAACUUAGAAUUUUAGAUAUAUACAACUCUCUCCCUCUAAGCAUAAGGAUGAAGUCAUGAAGUUACCCAGAAUAAAAGCAAAGAAACUACUACACACCUAACCAGACCCUAGUUAGGUAUGCCUAACCAUUCACCAGCUUCAAUUGCAAGCUUUAAUUUGUAGGGUUUGCAGUUAAUGAAAAGAGCCAAUGUGGAAAAUUUAGUGGAAAAAAAAGAAAAGAAAAGAAAAAAGAUACACAUGGUGACUUGGUACAAAAAGUGAUUGUGUUUGAGGAUCCAUACCCAGCAACACGCAGAGGUGAAGCCGUCUUGAUCUGUGAGGCUUGCCCCAAUCUAAGCUGUAAUUGAGGUUUGCUACCCACCCUUAUUGAGUGGGGGUCCCUACUAUCCCAAGGGUUAAUGGGCGUGUCUAGCAUGACUUCAACCAGUAGAGUUGGUGAACAAACCAAGACCACCGCAUCUCACCGGGAAAUGUCUCACUCACAAUCAAUCACUUUAAUGCCCUACUUAGUUACAAGCCAACGUUACUUGGCUCGGCGAUAGUAUGAGUGAAUACGCCUUAUUAUAAAUCUAUGUAUUAUCUAUUAUGUUUUCAAUGUGGGACUUUAGUUACCUACUAACCAAUUUGCAUUAUCUCGGCUACUCUCCAAUUUUAUGCAAAGAUUGCUUAAUUUAAAAAUUACAGUACUAGCUCCUAAAUCAUGAAAUUUACGACACCUAAUAAUUUAAACCUUAAGUCAUCUAUAUGAUCCUAGCGAUCAUAACUCAUAUGCACUUCAUGUCUCAUGUUUUCCUCAAGGAUGAUGAGAAUGAAACAAUGGAACUGUACAAAGCAAACAAUCGUUCUGUAUAGUCUCAUUAAUACGACAUUUGGAGGGUUGUCGGAAUCAAACUUUCGUUAGGAAUUGAGAGGAUUUUUCUAACAUUCUUCAGACUGAAAGUGAACUAGCAAAAAUAAUGUAAUAUAUCUGAUGUCUCUUCCAACCCAAAUGAUACUGCACAAGUGGUUGGAUGCCAAUGGAGGCAGCGGGUGACAUUGUCGAAGCCUCGAAGGUGGCUGGGCGUUGCUAGAGGCGGGUGGUGUGGCAGUAGAAGUGGAGGUGAUGCCAAUGGAGGCUGCGUGUAACAUAGUUGGAGGUUGCUGAGAGCCCGAGAUAUUGCUAAAUGUGGGUUAAGUGGUUAACGUAGCUGGAUGGAGGUGGUCCAAAAUGUGUAUACAAGCUUCAUAUAAGGCAAAAAAGAAACAGAGGAAAUCUCUAGCUUGGAAUGGCAUACUUGAUGCUAGACAACUGAUCAUGAAAGUUAUGCGGUGGAUUGUGGGGAUGGUAAGGACAUCAACUUCUUCUAGACCUUCAAUUGGGCACUGGACCAUCCACUGCCCGAUUACAUUCCUGAGAACAGAAGGCACCUUCUGAACCUAGAUGAAACAGUUUCGAAUUACAUUUUGAAUAAAGAUUGGAAUAAGGCAAAGCUUUCUUCUGUCUUGGAGCCUGCCAUUGUCAAUCAGAUUCUUAGCAUCCUCAGGACCUCAUCCCUAUCAUAGAUCAACUAGAGGAGUAUGUUUGGGGACCGACCUCUAAUGGUAAGUUUUCCAUUAAAUCAGCUACUUGGCCACAAAUUUCAAAUUUUCAGAAACAUGAUCAUUUUGAACUUAUCAAUAAGCUUUGGAAGUUGAACAUCCAACCAAAAGUGAAAGUAUUUGGUUGACUUCUUAUCAGAGGAAGACUUAAAACUAGAGCUAGAUUAUCAAGAUUUGGUUCAUUCAUGCCCUCUUUGUCAAGAAGAUAAUGAAACUGCAAACCAUUUGUUUGGUUACAGUAAUGUUGCUAAAACAGUUUGGAACCUAGCUGAGAUUGAACCCCCAGUUAACUGGGAAGAAGGCUACCUUACUGUGUUUAAGGAGCUUUUCUUACAACAACUGUAUUGUGGUACCCUUUAUGAGAAAGUUAUCACUAUCUGUUGGUACCUUUGGAAAGCUCGAAAUGAUGUUGUGUUCAGAGAUGCUAAAGCCAACCCAGGAUCUAUUGUAGCAACUGCUACUGCUACAACAUCUUCCUCAAGCACACAAGCAACGAUUAUUAGAGCUAACAUAUCACCUCCAAACCCAGACAUAAUCAAGUGGCAUGUUCCCUCUGGUGAUCAUGUUAAAAUAAAUUUUGAUGGCUAAGUCCUUAAAGACUCAGCUGUUGGUGGAUUUGUAAUUAGAGACUCCCUUGGAUAUCCUCUCCUAGUAGCCACUCGACAUAUGGGAAGAAUAACAGUUCCAAUUGCAGAAGCUUGUGCUCUCUGUAAUAGCCUUAUAGCUGCUAUUGAGCAAGGCUAUAGGCACAUUGAAGUCGAAGGUGACUCAAAGCUAGUCAUUGAUGCUGUAUGUGGAACCCUAAAGCCACCCUGGAGACUUAUUAAAACGAUUGAAGACAUAAGAAGGCUGGUUGCACAGUUUAACUCCAUUUCCUUCAAGUACGUCUUAAGAGAGGCAAACUUUGUGGCUAACGCAAUAGCUACUCUAGACCAUAAUACUUCUGUUGCUGUAAAUUGGACUAAUAGAGUCACUACUGAGGCUUCGUUUGCUCUACUAUUUGACUUUGUAAACUCUGAUUGUCUCAAAAAUUUUAAUCUUUAAUAGUUAUUUUACCUUAACAGAAAAAAAGGUAUUAAUGACAUUUUCUGUAGUUAUACAUCAGUUUCUUACCGAUCAACGAAAUGAAUUUAAUAAUCGAUACAUUAAACCAUUCAUACGAUUUUCAUAUAUGAAAGAGCGAGAGAGACAGAG